rnacentral:tRNA from 1 species
AACUUUUUAGCUUAGUGUUUAAGCGUUUAUCUUGAAAAUAAAUUAGAAGGGUUUAAUUCCCUUAAUAGUUU